UGCUUAUAACUGGGAUGCUCCAAUUCUUCAUUCUAGACACAUGCUGACCACAGUGAAAUCCAAGGACUGAGGGAGAUGAUUUAAAGCCAUUCACUGAGCAAAGAGCUGCUUCCAGCCAGCCCGAAGAAACAAUUAGUACAGGAGCAAAGGCUGGACUCUGACCUCUUUAGAAGCUAGGUGCCUGAGGGAGGCACAUGAGGUGACUCACAGCAGGGCAAGAUUCAUUGAACCAGAAGGGGACGACUUAAGGAAGCUGACUCUACUUUUCUCAGCUAUGGUAUGCAGCUGAGAGCAGGCAAGUUCUGCUUUUGGAGGGCUCUUUCCCCCUGGGCAAUCACAGAAGAGAAGAGUGGGAAUGACCCUGAGAUCAGAGACCAGGACCUGGGGAUCGCCACCCCACCGGGGCUGUGAUUUAGAAAGCAGGGUGCUGCCUGGGGAGGGCAGGUUCUGUUGGGAGGAGAAGGCAAAAGGAGAUUCAUUGCUCGCCCCUUUGCACAGCAGAUUGAGGUGGCUGAACAGAUGGGAUCACGUAUUGCUGGCUAUUUUUCUCUCUACUACCUGUAGUGCAAGUCUGGAAGCCUUAGAGAAGCCAUUCUCCUGCAGCAGCAUGAUAGGACUACCAAAAAUGCUUAGUGCUUGCCUAGCCCAAGACAAAGGAAGCACUGUUAGAGUGUAGUGUUUAAUGUGCUCUAAUGAAUAUUCAAAAAAAUUAUUUAUGAGGCCAAAUAUACAGCCUUUACCAUGAGUUAAAAUGGUUACAGUAAAGCCAAGAAGGGAGCUUUAGAGUUUGACAAAACCAGCUUAAGAAUAUGCAAAUUUGGUGAGACUUUUUUUUUUUACAAUGGAUUGGAAAAUAGCUGUCAGAAUACCCUUACCAUUCGUAAUAUGGUGUUGCACAAUCAUUUCGGUGCCACCCCAAAAUUUUAGACACUAGAUAUGUAAGGACAUUUAGAUACCCCUGUGAAUGCAGUGGGGCCUUGGGGUGAGAUUCAGCUGCCUAAGCACAGGUGUGUAGUGCCUUUUCAGGUGCCCGAUGGUACCUAAAACAUCUGCACAGGGCAGGCAGACACGAUGUGGGAUCUGCAGGGUUCCCAUACUUUGCUAUAGAGGCAGCUGAGGAGGCCACCCUAUGGGCAAUACGAUGGCCCUGGGCAUUCACGUCGAGGCACCCGAACCACUUUCUAGGUUUUGGGGCAGCGUUUGCUGCAGCUGCAGCGAUGCCCAAGCUGGCUCUAUCCUAAUGUUGCACUGAGCAGCCUGCCUCAGCCCUCGCUGGGGACUUCUGUAUCACACUGCACUUUGCGGGGCAAGACGGUCGCAGUGGGGAGGAUCCCUGUCCAAAUCCACAACUUUCCAAGGGAGGAAUAUUUUAAUUCCAACCUGUGAAACCUAAGUGAAAAUAGGGGUCCUAAAGAUUAUAUUUUAUUAUGUGUUGAUAAAGCACCACAAAGAUUAUCAGUGCUUUAUUAAAGGUUUUUAAUGUGGGUGAUUGCUUAUAUCCCAGUCAAAAUCUUCUCCAUCCUACAUAGGUAUUUAUCUCAGCUAGCAGAUUUUGUUUGCUCAGAUCCAAAUUAGAAAGUAUUUAAAGCAGAUAGCACAUCUCUAAAAAUAUACUGAAUUUACAAUGAAGCUUUAACAUUCGCUUGCUAAAUUUCACACAUCUCAUUUGAUUUCUGAAGAGAAAAGGUAAACACAGAAAUUUCUUUCACCAGUUCUCAUGCACUGCCUGCAGCAAAAAAAAGAGGACUAUUUCUUAUAUUACCACCAUGUGUUUUAAGUAGAGAACAAAUGGCCAUUCCCUUUACAGGCAAGAAAGUCAAAUUCCUGACUGCAGUUUGUGCCAUUUUUUUUCUCUUUAUUGGUAAUGCAAGCUCCUGUGCAAAUGGAGGGGCUGCUGUUCAGACCUAGUUGAAUACAACAGGGGAGAAUGAGACCAAAUUACUGCUGUCUGUCUUAACAGGACUUUUUAAUAAAAUUUACUUUACAUGGCCCUGUGUCUUGCCAGGUUAAAUUAUCGCUUUUAACAUGUUCACAUUCUUGUUAAUGUAUUUUAACUGCAGUGCAAAAUGUUAGGGUAAUGGGAAGAGCUGAAAGCGGAAUGGUUACAGUGAAGCCCAAUUGCUGCCUCUAUUUAGAUAAUUUUCCUUCCAAGUGACAGUCCAUUAAAUACCUAAAUUGUUUUAUUUGCUACUAAAGAAAGUCUUUGCUUAGUCUUUGGUGUCAAGAACUAAUGAAAGAAGCCUAGAAGAAAAUCUGCCAGAUUCUGUAAAAGUAGACAUGCAUAUUAUGACAUGCAGAGUUUGUACAAUGUUGGUUUUUUUUUUACUUUGUGGAAAAGUGAGAGGGUACAUCAUAAAAGGUAUUUUUUAGAGAUUGCAAAUGUUUAUUUCUCCCUUGAUUUUUAAAAGUAAUAGUUUCAAAAUUCAGGCUUAGUGAAAUGCUCUGGUCAUUACUUUAAAAAAGUCAUUACUUACAAAAAUCUGUAUAUUAAAUAUAUUUGGUAUCUUAGUACAAUUCCAUUAUUUUAUGGCACUGAACAACAGAAUAUAAAAAGGUUUUCAGCUUUAGUAUCAUACCAGGUCUACCUUGAUUCAUAUUGCAGGGUCCAAUAUAAAUAAUGUUUUGAGAUACUCAGUUACCCACAUUUCAAAAGGACUUCUGUAAAUCAGAUUACAUGAUAUGUUCUCUUCCCCACCCCUGUUCCUCUUUGCUUGCUAUGGCCUCGCACCUGCUAGCUCUUCACCUCUUCUCCUUCUCGUGGUUCUUCCAGCUACAGUGGCUUAGUGCAAAUACCCUUAACCUAAUUGGAAAGAUAGCAGGAAUUACCACAACCGCCUGAUAUGCAUCUCCUGAGUCAUGUGCUCAUAACCAAAUGUUAUGAACACUCAUCAGCUGAAGAGUUAAAACUGUCAUUAUGCUUUUACGUUUGAGUACAUUAUGCUCUCAUAUUUGUGUAUAUUUUUCUGUAUAUUUGCAGUGUUGUCCCACUUGGGAAGAAAUAUAAUUUUUUUUCUAGUGUUUAGGAAGCUAUACUAUGGAGCAUUAUAUUUUGGUGAGAGACCCCAAGAUGUCCAAGUGUGUUGGGGAGUUGACAUUUCACACAAGGGUCUGACUUCCAGAAAACGCUAAGAUGUCGACCUUGGGGAAAAAAACAUGGAGCCCUGAGCCAUCCACAACAGGUUUAAACUGAUGAAAGAAGAAAAGAUGACUGUGUGGUCUAGUGUCUGGUGUAAUGUCUGUACUUGGGAGUAUGAGAGGUUUCAAAUAGGGAAAAUGCAGAAUGCCAAUAAAAUAUCAGAAAAUAUGUACAGCAAGUUUUAAACAGAAUUCUUAAUUAGUUGCAGAAAGAAACAGUAUACAAAAUAAUAAUCAAAGGUGGCAGAAGAAACUUUCCAUUAUUAAGUUAAAGAAAUUUUUUUUUUAAAUUGCUUUUUAUGACAGAGUGGGAAAGUUUUAGCUUUGUUUACAGUUCCAGAAAUAUCUUAUAUCAAAUUUAUAGGAUUGUUUUAGUUACAGCAAUUCUUUUUAAAAGAGGCUGGCCCUAAAAAUGUAACAAGUCAGUAAAGAAGUUUUUAGAAAAUACUGCUUUCCUCGUAUUAAACACAGCGUCCAUUUUGAUGCAUGCACUAUACAUAGGGCUCUAUUUCUACCCUAGCAUGUGUGGUGUUUCCUUCCAUCCGACAAGACAGGUCUUGUGGAUGGUGUGUACUGGCUUGACUAGACUUUAGCAAGGAAGUUUAUUUCACAUAACAUAUAGUGUUAUGAAAUAUGUAUUUUACUUAAUCUUCUGCCAUGACACUUGAAGCAAUGGAUGUUAAAGAAGCACCACAAAUCAACAGAGCAGUUAGAUGGGAAAAAAUGGACGCUCUCUUUUUUCUUUUUUGCCUCUUUUUCCUUUUUUUUUUUUUUUUUUUUAACAAUAUGAGUCAAUUAUAGUUAUGCUGGCUGAAAGACAUACAUUUGCCUGUUUGUAGACCCAAGCUGAAUGCUGGUCUGCGAUAUGGUUCUUACAACUGGUACCUCAGUAGUCACUGGAUUUAAGCAGCAUGUGAAAAUUUGCACAGGAUCAAAAAACAAAACCAGCCUAUAAACUUUGGGUAUGACCUCCAGAGGUCUUCUGGUCCAACCUCCCUGCUCAAGCAGGGCCACCUAGAGCCAUCUGCCCAGCACCAUGUCCAGUUGGCUUUUGAAUAUCUCCAAGGUUGGAGACUCCACAGCCUCCCUGGGCAACCUGUGCCAGUGCUCGGUCCUCCUCACAGUAGCAAAGUGUUUCCUGAUGUUCAGAAGGAACCUCCUCUGUUUUUUGUUGUGCCCAUUGCCUCUGGUCCUGUCACUGGGCACAACUGGAAGAAGCCUUGCUCUGUCCCCUUUGCACCUUCCCUUCAAGGAUUUAUAGACAUUGAUGAGAUCCCCCUGAGCCAUCUCUUCUCCAGGCUGAGCAGUCCCGACUCUCUCAGCCUUUCCUCACAGGAGAGAUGCUCCAGUCCCUUCAAAUUCUUCAUGGCCCUUGGCUGGAUGCUCUCCACUGCAUCCAUGUCUCUCUCAUACUGUGGAGCCCAGCACUCCAGCCGUGGCCUCACCAGUGCUAAUCACUUUGGCACAGACUCCAUAGCAGAAACCUCUGACAGACAGCUACCCUGGGACAGUCUUUCCUUAUCAUAAAGAUCAUUUGCUGCUGUCAACUUGAGGAUUAGUAAUGCCCAAAUGCUCAGCCCAAAGGGUGAGAGGAAAAAACAAAGGGGCUGCAGGAUUCAGAGCUGACAGGACUGUUCUGUCAAGAACAAAAUCCUUGUUUCCUUAGUUGUAUUUAGAGGGGUUUUUAAUAUCCGUUUAAGUUAUUAUUCCGGUCAGUCUGACCAGCCUGAAAAGUCAAGAGACUUUUCAACACAUUUUUACAAGUUGGAUUCUCCAUUAGACUCACAGUAGGGCAGUCUGCACUGCCGAACUUUUUCCCUUUUAAGUACCAGGCAACAGCUAGAUAAUGCUGUGUGCCAUUAUUAUCCUAAUCCAUAUAGCCUAUAUAAUCUGUAUGAGUUCCUUAAUAUUUUACUAUGUGAAGCAAUUUCAAGUACUAUGAAACCCAAGAGCUUGCAGACAUAGCCAAAUCUACUUCCACAGACCAAAGCAGUGGUACUUAAACACAUGUUCAAAUACGUUACUGAAUUUGGAAGCAGCAUUUGUGGUGUGUCAUCCCUGAGCUAUCCUCUCACCAGGAAAACACAGAGUGGAAUCAUCAGUAGAGGCAAGUUGCUUUCAAUAGGGUCACAAUGCCCCACGGUUCUGCAAUAUUUUUGUUGUUUCAGAGUUUGGAGUAUUUAAUGGGGACAUCUUGGUCCCGAGCGGUGCCUGACAGGUUCACAGUCACCCAUGGGAGGAGGACCCAGCUGCUCUGGUAUGGCACAAGAAUGGCUACUGCGAGGUUGCAUUAAAUGGAUGUCCCGCUCCCCUGAGAGGACACAGCCUUUGAGGAAUCAUUUGGGACCUGCAGCAGCUGAAUGCAGGAAGCUGCCGUGCACCCUGUCCCCCAGCCCCGCUCUGCCAUCCGGCUCGUUCAGGUGGGGAUGAUGCUCACAAAGAUACAGUGUUUUGCCAGUUUCUGCAGUUAGGCCCACAGAGAUGCUCAGGUGUGUUCAGACCAUUUACUCCCCUUUAAGCACAGCAUGGAAAAAUCAUUCUGGAAAUUAUAUGGCAAAAUCAAGUGACCAAAUUGCUGCCUACACUUUCCUCUUAUGCAGCACCAGAGUAGAGGCUACAACACUUGCUACCACUACAGUGAGCAGCCUGUAAUGUAUUCCUGUACUGUUAGGUACUCCAGCUGCUGCUUCCUUAUGCCAUGAGAAGUGCAGCAGGCCAUGUAAAUGCAGUACAUUUGGAAAAAUAAUUUUGUGUGGAGAUUAAGUCAUCCAGAAUUUUCUUUUUUUUUUUUUUUCUUCUGGACUAGUACAAUUUUUUUCCUGAGAGAAGCUAACCAAACAAUAAAAUCCCACUAUUUACAAUCCAAAUAGCAUGGAACACUUUCUGCACGAAAGCUGUGCCACAGUCUCUAGGCAUACCUUGGAAUAGAAAAAAAAAAAAUCCAAUAUCAGCCCAGUAAAUAUAACUGUAUUUAUCUUAACAAUAACGUCUUCUUUGUGACACACCAUUUUCCUUUCCCUCCUCGCAACUUCAAGAAAGAGUUUUGGAAAACAUGUUUUUGAAAUACCUCUGUGUGUGGAGCUUAUUAAAUUAGUCUGCUUCUUUCAGUAUAUAUAAAAAAAAAUAGAUUAAAACUCGAGUCAUUUCAUGGUCUGAAAAGAGUGUCAAUAAAAGUGAAAUAAUGUUUGUGCAGUUUAGUAAGGCGGGUUAACCUUUUGAAGAACACAGCAAAUGCUUUGUGGAAAAAGAAAUGACAUUCACGUGUCCUUUUGGCUUUGCAGAGGUAGUUUUGUAAUAUAUCAUGAAAGAGCUGCAAAUGCAUGUAUUGAAUGGCAAAUAUGCUGAUCAUUGCCCCGUGGCAGGUCUAAGAAAGGCGGCAGUCAGAGUACACAGCAGAACUGUCUGGGAGAUCGGUUGCCGUGUCAGUUUUGACAUCUGUUUUGGAAGAAUUUUGUCUGUCUCUAAAGCAGUGUGAUCCUCAGUGUACAGUCACUUUGGAAGUGUUAGCUAGUCCACGUAGUGCUGAGCACACUGAUGCUUUGAAGUGUCAAAAGCUGCUCGAGAUAUUUUAGCAAUAUAUAAGCCCAUUUCCUUUGAUAGAAGAUUCAAGGCAAGGCUGUGGGAGAGUGACAUUUCUUCUGGAAGAUUACACCCAUUGCUAUAUUAAGUGGCAGAAAAUCUUCCAGUCACUCUAGCCUUUGAAAAUGAUGAUCUAAAGCCUGAGUCAAUGUGCUCGUAUUCUUCCCCUGACUGGGUGGCUGAGGAUCAGGAAGUGUCUCCAUUGAAAUAAACUGACUGGGGCUGCAGGAAAGGGAAGCAAAUCUCUGGGCUUGAAAGAGCCCAGAAUUGUGUCCAUCCAAAAUGGAGAAGGCAGGGGAACAUGAUACAGCGUGGAGAACUCUGCCCAGGUUAAUAAUUUUCCUGCAUGCAUUCAUUCUGUUCCCUGUAAUAGCUUAUUGUAAUCUUAAAAAAUUAGUUCAUUAUGAAAGUAUUUUUUCCAUUCUGUUAAUUUGAGAGACUUUUACAAUUAGAAUUCUUAAACCAAACUCAUUUAAUGUUCAAAAAGACAGAAUUGCUGCUAAUUAAAGAUAACAGUAAAUCAAACACAUAAAACAAUCACAUGCUGUACUGAAUACGAUUACAACAGCCAAUGUAUUGAAUACUGUGAGAUAUAUCCUCUGUUGCUGAUGGGAAAAUAGGCUGUGUCUUCUCUGAUAUUGGAUUUUUCCCCCCUGCUCAGGUACCAUUUAUCCGUUUUUAAAAAUACUGUUGUCCUGCAGAUUAGUUGCGGGCAGCAAGGCUUUUCAUACUUUGGCUCUAAUUCCCCAUUAUGAUACGGCACUUUGUCUUAGGCAUUGCAUUGCAAGCAAUAGCGAAGAUUUACUUUCUACCAGUAAAUGAUGUACAGGCACCAGAGCCAAUCCUUCUAUUGACACUGUCUAUUUAAACAGCUAUGGAUGGUCCAUCAACCCCUGUGCUAACAGAGAACAGCAUACAACUCUCAUCGUUACGUUUCUUCACAGUUUUCUUCAUCCUCCAAUUUUGUUUCCCUUACUGGUGAUUAUAACAGGCCACAAUGGAGCAGAGCUGGUUAACAAGCAAGGCAUAAAACAAAUUAAUUAUUUGUUUGGAAACAUGCUAACUCACUCAACUUGAGUGGAAUUUUUAGGUAUUGAAUUAACUGAUUAACAUCCAGACUUGUGUAUGUCCCUGCAGAGUCAGUGCAGUGGUACUCAGCUCCCCAUCUCGAUGAUAGGCAGAGACACAUAUUAUCUUGGCAUCAAAUCAGAUGCUAAUUUAAAUCUGCAAGAUGAAUUCAAGCUCCCCUUCAAGAAAAUCUCAGAAUAUAUGAAUAGAUGCUCAAUAAGACAAAGCCUUGAAAUCUGUUAUUGUAACAGUGAUGACACCGAUAGUGACUGGACUGAACUUACUCUGGGGAAUACACCAUUAACCUCAAAGCCUGAGCAUAAGUUCACCUUAUUCCAUGUAAAUUAAAUUAGAAUCUAGAGAGUCAUAUAAGAAGUAGCCAAGAGGGUCUAAUUUUGCCUCAAGAGUGACCCUUAUUUAUGAGAUUGUGGAUAUACACUUGAUCCAGCAUAACAUGAAUAGUCACACUGAAGAGUGAAUUUUUGGAGAGUCAUUGACCUUCAUAUUUCAGACCAUUGCUAUUAGCACAGAAAUAAAAUACUAGAACAAGGAUACAGCUCCUCUUUGGGGAGACUUAUAAAUGUUUUAGGACACUUUGGCUGCCAGCAGAUGCUAACUAAGCUAGAACGAUAAACAUAGUCUUCAAGUGGUUCUCUUUGUAGACACUGUUUAUCUGCCCAGCUUGCUGUAGCUAAACCAAUGCAAAAGCCAAAGCUGUGCUAAAGACAUGUAAGUGCUCCUGAGCAAAGAACACAUCCGCUCCCUUUUAAGAAGCAAAGCUACCUCUAUUCUUACUUACAAUGGACUCAGACCUUGGCCCAAAACUGUAGAAGGAGCAUGAAAAAGGAGUGUAACUCUUGUCAGUUUUUCUCACUUUCAGGGUUCCUUGAGCUAUCAGAAGGGGAUAGAAACCUAUUGUUUGUGAGAAUCAGGCCCAAUAUAUUUAAUAGCAGAGGAAUAUUAGAAAUCUGUUCAAGAAUUAAUAAAUCAGGCAAAAAAAAAAAAAUCUAAGCAUUAAUUAGAUUUGGAGUAUAUCACACAUCUCCCAGAUCAAGGACCUUAUAAUGAAAAAUGAGUUUACGGAUUCCAGUUUUCCCUGUAUGAAAGAAUCAUCCACUCUAUUUUUAUCUCCAAUUGUUCUUGGCAACCUAUGCCUAUCUGGGAGUGCUCUGGAUUUUGAUCCAAAACCCUCCAGUAAACGACCUCAUUAAAAAUAUAGCAGUGUAGCAUAAAUUGGCAGAAAAUGGUUGCAGCUUCCAAAAAGCUAAAUCUCCCAAUAUACCCAAAUACUUUGGCAACUGGGGCCAAAUGUAGGUAUAGCUGGAGGAUCUCUGCUACUUAUGGACAAAGAAGUGUUAUGAUUUAAGCCCUAUUUGUUCCCAGGUUUACUCUGGAUUAUGCUGUUACUCGAUUGCAAUGAAGGUCCUACUAGGGCUGCUUUUCAAAAUGAAUGUUUAAAAUCCAUGAGAAUAAGCUCUUUAUUUUGUAGACAUAGCCUUGUUUUUGUAGCUACUUUUAAUCAUCAUGAUACAAAAGCCACGGAUUCAGAAGCAUGCACAGCACCAUUUAUACAAGAGGUCUCAGGUCACUUCUGUUUACAUAAAACAACAAAAAACCCAGUGAUUAUUUCAUUCACAUUUCUCAGCAUGUCUAACUCAGAACCAGAAACACUGCUGUAAAUAACAUGGGAAAAUAUAGGUUGUUACUAAAAGCUAAGGGCUACUUUUUCCUUAGAAAAGGAUCACUCACCUACCAGCAUCCCUGGUCUUCUGUUGCUCAGAGCACCAACGUGUUACAUCUUCAGUGUAAACUGCUCAGAAAUUGUGAUGUUGGGACAGCAUUUAAAAGUUAAGGUUUCCUCUUGAGUUUUGUAUGGAGUCAAGCAAGAGCAGGACAGAUUAUUUUAUUUUACUUCUGCGACCUGGUCCACCUUCCUCUAUUUUUAUAGAUUUAAAGGAAAGGAUUAUUUUUUGAAAGGAACAUAAUAAAAGCUUCUUUUGGAAAACAUGUGUUUACAACUUUAAACAGAAAUGCCUACAGUUCUGAUUAUGUAGAGUCAUUAAAGGAGUAUUUUUCUUUUUUUUUCCCUAGAGUAUUUAUUCUGUGCUCUUGACAGUCCUUUUGGCAUCAUCUCCUUCAGCAUUUCCCAUUACAGCCAAUUAUUUUAUUAUGUCCCCUCAAAACAGAGGUUUCCCUGGGCUCAGGGACUGUUCUUCCUGCAAGGAGCUGAUGAUUUCAUUAAGCAAGAUGUAGUAAGGGCUUAGUCCUGAAAACCUAACGCAGGCUUGCUGUCACUUGUCACAGCAAUCCGAAGGAAAGCGCCGGGGAGCCCGGCCGCUCAGGCAGGGAUGCCUUGCUGCCUGCCAGAGAGCACAUGGCUUCCUCUGUACCCCACCUUGGUGCUCCCAGCUGCAGGCUGAAGGGUCAAAGAUGCCAGCCUGUGAGCAUGUGGCUGCCUGCUUGCUCCAGCACCUCACAUUGAAGGGAGAGCCCAGAGGCUUCUCAUGCUUAUUAUCCAGCAUACAAUGAAUGCUCUUGGGAAACACAGGGCUUGGCAUGCAGAAGAGUUGAUGCUCUGCUUGCAGCGUGCGGUGGGUCGACCUUGGCUGGCCGCCAGCUGCCCACCAAACCACUCUCUCCCUCCCCCAGCUCAGCACAGCAGAGGUUACAUGGAUGGAUUAAUGCAAAGUGUGAUGGAUCCAAUGCAGCAGCAGGUUUUCUUCUCAGCUGCAUUUCUUUCAUCUUCCCCUCAGACCCACCAAUCAUUCCCUUCACUCAAAUAAAAUUAAAUCAGUUAAAAAGUGAUCUUAAUGUUAAUUCAGCUGAAAACUGAGCUGGGGCCUCAGACUGCUUCAGUGAAGUUCAUUCACAGCCAUUUCUCUAUCUUGUUUUUUUUAGAGGGACUGUCCCAUAAUGUGCCCAUGUUUCCUCCACAGAGAGCAAUACCUGUUCUUCAUUCUAGCCCCAUGGGUCUUCUUUUUCCAUGUGAGUUCUCACACAGCAUGGACAUACUUUGAAAAGGGGAGUAGCUGAAGCACCAGCGCUCUUCCACAGUGCCUGCUGCUGAUCGGAAAUGGCAAGGUGAGAUCCUCGUAGGUGCCAGACAGAAUCCUCUGAUCACCUAUAUGCCUUUCUAACCCCCCUCCCUUAUCUACCCCAUUUUCUUAGUCUACAAGGCAGCUGAAUAAGUGAGGGGCUUUUGAGGGAGUAAAGGAAGGGAGGAAAGGGAGAAGACUUGGACUGUGGUGGGAUCAGUGUUACCCCUUCAGCACUGGACUGGCAAACCUAAUGUCCCACAGAUCCCACUCCCCUCCUUUAAGAUUUGCUGGGGAAAAAACAAGACUCUCCACCAUGCUGAAGGAGAGUGUCUUUGUCUUCAUCAUUGACGUGCAGACGUCCAGAUGCUGAGGAGGGAGCCUUGGCUUAGAGUCUCAUGGGAGAGUGUGGACAUGCCAGGUGGAGGAGAAGAAAGGCUGGGGGUCAGGGCAAGGGAUGGGUAUCCAUGCACACAGACAGUUUUUAGGAAAAACCGUCCCUUGAAAGUAUAUUGACUUUUCCAUGUAGUAUCCCAGGGGAGGUAGAGCCACAGCUGCUGUGUCGGGUUAGUCCCUGUCUGGAUUGCAUUUGCUUCACCACCUGUUGCAAAUGGGAAAUUAUAUUGUCUAUUGUAGAACAAAUGACAGACUUUAAUAGCAAGCAAAUACACAAGGGCAAGGCUGCAGCUCUGCUGGCUUUAUUUUGACCAACUGCAGCUCCAUGAAGAGAAUGCCCAGGGGAGAAGAAAUGACCCUAAGCCCUGGUAAGAGACUUUUUAGCAAAAACGGAAGAGAAAAUUCACUAUUUACCCAUACAGAUAGAGAAUAAGGAAGUAGAUAAAUAAAUAACGGCUCUACUUUCAUUCUCAUCUGCUAGCAAAGAGAUAUAUCUGAACUCCAGUUUUAGUUCAAAGGACCGCAAUUUAUUUCUAGAUGCUGAAAUUUUUACAGAAACCAACAGGUUUUCCUGUCUAAAUAAAGUAUGGGAGAAAAAGCUGUAAGGCAUACAGUAGCUUUAGAAAUCUUAUAUGCAUGUUACAGUGAAGAUGGGAGAAAAACAGCUACUAAUGCCUAACACACCACUGAAUAAUCCACUCUGUUACCAUGAUAGCCGCACUGGUACCUUGAAAGAAAUCAUGCUUGUGUGAAUGUGGCAUGAUGAAUGACAAAAAUAACCUUGGAUCUUCAAAGAGCUGGAGAAAGAACUAAUCAAUCAUGUUCUGUUUCAUUCUUUUUAAACAACUAUUGUUGCUGAUAACAGGUAAGUAAAUAGAAUUUAUUCUCCCAGUGGAGGAAAGCUGAAUUAGUUGCCUGAUGAUAAGCUUCCAUACUGUGAGCAAAUUGACUGCAGAUGCUUCAAGCUCGAGGGUAUGUGUAUGGUCAGAGGUAUCCUUUCUGAUGAAACAGAGCAUUUGUUUUAAAGGCUGUCCAGCUGAUGAUGCUCACCCAGCAGGGAUUUGCAGGCUGCGUUUUGGUGCCCAUCUCCCUUACGGACCUGGCCUGGCAGCACCAGGGCUUUCCCUGCUCAGGGACCCAGUACAAGGCUUCACAAAUGUGGGAGUCAAACCCUUCUGAGCAAGCCUAAUCCUGUAGACACUGGAAAAAAACGUCUGCGAGCUCCUAUGUGUGGAGUAAAUCUGUUUGGCCCAGGGAAACGGGGCUUGAGUGUUGCACUCAGGUGCCAGAUUGACUGAGGAACUGUGAGUGAGUGUGAGCGCGAGUGUGUGCUGGGGGAGUCUGUCUCUUGGCUCGCAUACUUGCCACUGUCCAGAUUUGACAGCAGGUCUAGAGUUUUGCAUUAAUCAAGUCCUGAAAGCUUCAUGAAAAUAAACAGUAAUACAGGUCAAAAGACCAUCUUAGUGCUUCCUCCAAGGGGAAGGCUGCUAUGUAAGUUCACCUCUUACUAUAUACAUAUGCCAGAAAGAUAAAAUAAAUAAUCCCUGAUUCGCACAGUAAAAAAAAAAAAAAAAGCAGAGAUGAGGCAGUUUGCAAAUUCAGAAAUUCCUGUAGAAACUGUCACUAUAAGAAUUUUAUGAAUGAUUAGUUACUCAUCAAGUCGUUCCUCUCUCCUGCUUUUCCUCAUAUAGUUCCCCUGUUAACCUACUACAGCUCAAUAAAUACAAUUACUGUGGAGCAAAAUAAAAUGCCUGCCACAGAAAUAUGCUUUAAAAGAGCAGCAAAAAUUGUGAAGACUCAUUGCCCUGUGUGUGGGAUUGGGCAAAGGUCUUGUGGAUGAAAUAUUACAUGAUCACUUAAUUAAAGACUGUCUCACAGUGAGCACACACAUGGGGAGUGUACCAAGUCCCUGUUAAUUCUGGAUGCUUUUCUUAAAUUCUGAGUGCUUUGUUCUGCAGCCUUUUCUUUUUGUUUUUGGUUUUUUUGUUUUUUUUUUUUUAAAGGCUCCUUUGGAGUUGUUCUGGAGGGUUUAAUUAUUUCUUCAAAAAUCAUUUGAACUUUAGCGGAAGUAUUGUUUAUCCCCACAAGUACAGCAUAAAUCUUUGCUUCCUGAUCGCUUUUGCUACUGGAGCAGUGGGGGGUUGUGCAAGACGGUAAGCCAGCUGUUUGGAAAUGAGGGAAGGUGAGAUUCACACAUUGUUAUUGGAUUUCUUAGAUGUUGACGGACAUCAGAAGGGUGGAGAUGCUCCUGGGAUCAGCCUGGCUUCUUGGAGGGCAGAAGACCCCACUGGCUACAGACUCUCUGACUCUAUGCUGUCUCUUUUAACUUCCCUUUGCUCUUACUCAUAUUAUGUGGUCUUUUAUGUCCGUCCAUCUCUACCACACAUCCCUGCAUCCCACCGUUUAUCCUAUAUGCACUUAUUCUGCCUCUCCAGUCCUACUCCAGUGCUCUUUUCCCACAAAUGCUACCUCCUCAGACACACCUCUUUCCAGGGUCCUUCCCCUAUUCAAUCCCAGGCCAGGGCUCCUGCCUCUUCAGUUGGCAGGAGCCGCCACACCAGGGUGAUGGGAUCCCUCCUUCCAGGGCUUGCACUUGCACAGAGCCACACCUGGCUGUGGAGUAAGCUGGCCACAGGCAGUGCUUCAGAAUAUAAGCUGCCUUCCCCAAAUCUCUGACAAGGAUGUCCACACUGAAAUAACUAAUUUGUCAUGUGGGCCAAAGGAACCAUUAAUGGUAAGACCAGGCCCUUGCCCAAAGCUGUUCAUUUGCAAAAAUAUUGUGGGGAACAAAAGUCAGCUGGCAGAUGUUUUUUCAUAUGGAUCGUUUCCCUGCAGUUACUGUAAAAGCCAGCAAAACUGGCCGUCAUAUGGAGACUGUCCGUCUGUGUCACGGUGGGUGCUGCUCUCCAUUCCACCUGGUGUAGCAAAGCUCUUAUAGCAAGGGGACAAAUGUCUUGGAGAGGUAAUAACAACAAGAGUUUACUUUGCACCUCCUGCAAUCUUUUUUCAAACAAAAUGUUUUCUACUCAAAUGUCCAGUGUACCUUCUAAGACAUUUAGAUAACCUCCCUUCCCUCGAAACCUAUGGUAAGGUGUCAUGGCCGUAUUUGCAGAGCAGUAUUUGCAGAGGUAAUGAGAUGUGGGGCUAUCUCUCUAGAGGAGCUCCGAGCUUGGCUGAAAGCAAGCCUUUUGCGAUUCCCAUCCUCACAGAGCCACAUAAUGGUAGAGAACUGCGAUCCAGAAGCUAAGCUUUCAUUAAAGCCAAAAUAAAACUCAUAUAUAAAUAGAAUAUGAACCAGGUCAUUCUUGCCAAUCAGAGUUUGCAGACAGUCUGAAAUAAUAGUUCUGAGCAAUAUAUAAACUGUUCCCAUUCUUCUCAAUGUGAUGUUAACUAGGAAAUCUAAUUGUCGCAAUUUAAAUGUCAGCAUCAUUAAAUAUUUUGCUACUGAAUACUCUAGCAGAAACAUCCAGCUAAUGUGCUCUUACUACAUUCACAGACCACCUCCCACAUUUUUUACUGUGUGCCAGAUGCACCACUGGUCCGCUUCAGUCACCGAAGCCUCCAAAUUCCUCCCCAAAACUCCUGGGCUACAAGGUAUUUUGGCAUUGUCAGUCCAACAGCCUGGGAGACAUCUUGAAAAGGAACAGUUUGGAAGAAGAUAAAUAAAAUUCAGUGCUGAAAUUAAGAGCACAAGGAAUACUUUGCAAGCAGUAAUGCUCAUUUAAUUCAAUAUAAUACUGAUUUUAAUAUUCAUUUUUAUAUUCAGUUUGAUACAAUAAGAUGUUCAUGAUUGCAUUUAUCUGGAUCUGCCAUGGCAUUUCAGACAGUUUCAUUCCAGUUUGUUGAAGAGCUGGUAACAAAGAUGUUGGCUAGAAAAAUAAUGCAACGCAUAAAGAUAAAUAUUUGUCAGAAAAAUAGUAGAUGGUAGCUGCCACUUCCUCAGUACAAGCACUUUUCACUGAUUGUCGCACAGGCUGUGCCAGAGGCCAUAUUCAACCCUGAGCACAUGGCCUGUUAAAAACUAGCAAUUAAACUCUUGCUUUAUUUCACCAUCCACUCAAAGCUUUGUUUUUAGUUAAGUUAAGAAACUUUGCUUGAAAUAUUUGAAUCAACUGGUCGUUUCAAACAAGAAUUGAACUUUCAGGCUUACUCCUGAUCAGCAGCAAUUAAUAAACUACAUCAUCCUUUCAGUUACUGAUAUACAAAUUUUAAAAAGGCAUUGAAUAAUCUCCCAGAAGGCAAUCUGACAUGGAGGACUGUAGUAAGCAAAGACUCGCUACAUGUUUUUAUCCUUGAUGGCAGUUGUUGUCCAUAGGCUAAAACAAAGCUAUGAAGGCCUGAAGAACAGAAAGUUGCAUUACUACGAUUAUGCAAUUGAAGUAAAGGAAAGCUUGAGAGCAUGGGAGAUGAUAGACAGCUAGAGACUAGACUAAGAAGUAGAUGGCCUGAGCUCCAUCAAAAUACCAGCAGAAGUUAACAGAUGACUGGAAAUGUCAGCAGAAGUGCUGUGGGUAGGGGGGUAGGAAGAGUAGGAAUAUAUGGUAAAGAUACAUGGCACAAACAGAGCUCAUGGGGCAGCUAAUGACCUAGGGUGAGUGUGCUUGAUGUGUGGACAAAAGUCAUGAUCACAAAAUACACACUCUAUGCGUAAAAAAUCAGAGAGGUUUAAUAACGAGACAGGUUUAUAUAAAAGUGCCAUGGUAUGACGUUGAGCUGCUGAAUAGUUGGAUUGUCCUGCAAAUCCUGUGGUCUGUAGUGCACAACACUGGGCUUUCUCUCUGCUGCAGUGCUGGAAGGGUGGUUCAUACAUGGCAGCUCCUGUGCCAAAGUAAGCCCUGCAGCUGGGGCAGGCUGAGCUCCCAAACAGCUCCUUGAACGUGCCUAUGGCCAGUGGGUGAAUGGUUCUGGACAUGCCACUGGUGGACCUCAGCCCCAGGCACCUCUACUGCUAAAUAUAAUAUUUGUCAAUAGGAGAGGCAGACAGAGAAGGAGCCAAGGCUGUUCAAGGAAAGGCACAAACACUUCAGGUGCUAGCAGAAGAAGGUGCCCAAAUUAAGAGCUGAAACCCAAAGAAUCUGCAAACAGGGCACCCAUCCCAGUGUGGCUACCAGUGGGCCGCUAUGGGGAGCAUGCAUUGCAAGCCAUCACUUCUCUGAGUGCUUGCAAUGUCCAUCAAACGACAAAAUAUUUUGUAGAAUUUAUCUUUAAAAAUCAUGGGCUUAAGGUAAGACUAGGAGCUAGAGUUACAGUCUUGAAGACAAAGACUAUACCUGAAUCCCUGACUGCAAAACACAUUUAAUGUGAAAGUCACCAGGCAUGCUGCAGAGAUGGGGGGAGCCAACGACACUUUUAGACUGAUUCUCCAGUGUCUCUUGCAUCAUAGAGGUAUAAACAUCUUCUCCAGGAACUACACAGAUGGUGCAAACUGAACAACCAGGUCUCCAAACUACUGCUUUCUAUCCAGAUGUUCAGGUAAGACCCAUGCAACUGAAAGGUGUCUCCCUAAUGAUGGCAUCUUGGACAGGAAGACAAAAGAGACCUUUUUAUGUCAAGGCAGGAGUACUUACCACAAUCAUUCUCCUUUAGACAAUAACACUGCUGUCAAAAUCAAAUUGAAUGUUUUGUACUUUCAAAUCUGGAAACAAAAGUUUCUUCUCAGAAUCACCUCAAGGUGAGAUUGAAAUUCAAAUUGCAAUGCACUUUAAAAUGGGGGCCAGUACAGUCUGUGCAGUUGUGUCAAACUUUUCCAGCUUGCCAAUUUGCUUGAAAUAGGGAAAGCAUCGUUUGGAUGAGUACCCACUGUGCUCUCAAAAUAGACCUUAGCUGUGCUUUUGGAAAUAACUGAUCAAUGAGCACUUUACUAUCGAGACUUGAUUUCCUAUCAGUGCCAUUCCUCCAUAAAACUGGCACACUGCGCUGCACUUCAAAACUUCCCUCAUUACGUACUCCACAGAGGCCCGUUACUCAGUCAGCCUUACCAGCUCAGCACAUCCUUUUCUGAUCUUAGUGUCUCUUAACCAAAAGUGUAGGGUGGCUACUGGUUGUUUUGAACUACCUCCGAGGGUUAAUUGAUAGCUCUUUGGAUGCAACUUUGCCAUCACUUUUGGAAUGAUAAACCAGUGGAAAAAAGGAUUGGUAGCCAGGCCAUGGAGCCCAAAGAUCCUGGAGUUCGCAUGCUCAGUGAGGAACUAUAUAAGAAAAAUUCAGAUGGGAACAGCAUUGGGUUUCUUAUGGUAUUUUGUUCUUCCUCUGUCUUCUCAUGUCUUUCCAGUCUGCUAGUGCUCAGAGUGGAGAGCAUGUGUGGUCUCACCACAGCCAUCCAGAAGGAGAGAAUUAGUAGUCUGCUCCAUGCCAUGAUUAAAGAAAAUAUGCUUGUAAAAUAAAUACAAAUUGACUGGGGUAUGAACAUUGUCACUGGGAAUGAAAACGAACCUCAGAUUUUAAAGUAGUAUUUAAAAAUCUACCCAACCAUAGAGGACAAAAAUUAGAAAAAUAACCAGAUAUUCUGUAAAGGGUCAGAUCUGUUUUGCAGCAGUCUCUUAGGGCUCUCCAGGGAAGAAGAGUCUCUGGAGGCAAGAGGAAUCUUAGCUGCCGAAGCAAGUCUGUCACAAGGUCUGGAGCUGAUCUGCGAGUCUCACAGGAUGGUGCUGGCUGCGAGUACAGUAUUCCCAAUGAAGUUCUCCUCCUGUGAAGAAGAGGCCUGAACUGGAGCUGAAUGGAAACUUUUGCAGCUGUCAGGAGGUUUAGCCCUUCCUCUCCAGAAUUUGAAAUCUGUGGGCUAAUCAAGGAGAACAGCAUGGCCUGAAAACACAUUAUUAUAUAGCAUCCUGAAGGGAUUUAUCAUGUCACUGGGGUAGAGAGCGCUGCUUCUCUUGAAGCGUUUCCACAGACAGCCCCAGGAAAUCAAGCUGCGACGCACAUCUGGAUGCUCUGUACACAAAUGGCAUUGCAUUUAAAGAUGAGGUGUUGGCAAGAAAAAAGCAGUAGUCCGUGCACGAUUACUCAUUUCUGCAAAUUCCCAGUUUGACAAGAACCACGAGUAGACUGAACAGCUAAAGUCAGGUAAGAGGGGUUUUUGGCAGCAAGUGGGGUUUGGGUUUUGGGGUUUUUUUCAUGCCACAGAGUGUCCAUAUAUAAAACCUUACCUGGAGAACCAUUUAAAGGACAGUUGACUAAUAUUUUACCAUUUUGAAAAAGCUGUCAGGUCACGAAUCUUCAAAAAACAUAGAAGGAAAUGUGAGAUACUAGUAGCAUGCUACGAUCCACUGUUUGCACUAAAAUAACAGGUGUGAAAGAUUAAUACAUUCUGAGAAAUCAGAACUGCUUAAAAAAAUUCAUCAGGCUGGAAGUAUUUAAGCAGCUGAAAGAGUUAUUCAUACAAAUUAGAUCUUGCUUUACUGUUUAUCCCUAAAGGAAGAAAGGUUUCAUAACUUUGUGGGAGACGCUGUAAAACUCCGAGGCUGUAAUACACAUCUUUUUCAGACUGUUUCGCGAGAAGAGUUCUAAUUGAUAGCUGGAUGGGACCUUAUAUGGGUUUAUGGUAGACUGAUUGAAGCACUGUACAUUAUGCAGUGUUGUAGUUGGAUAAGGCUGCUCUUUGUGGGAUGCCAGAGUUCACAGAGUUCUAGGGUCACUUCAAGUAGAAAUUGUUUUGACGAGCCAGGUAAAAUCUGUUUCUUAAACCAUAAAUACUUUUUCUGCCCAAACACAGGAGGAGCGU